AUUUUUUCGGACCGUCGGUCUACCGAGCAAUAUCACCCGCUCGGUGGAAGAUCUUCCCUCCGU
rnacentral:pre_miRNA from 1 species